UACAGAGGUGGCAAGCGUUGUUCGGAAUUACUGGGCGUAAAGGGCGCGUAGGCGGCCCUCUAAGUCAGACGUGAAAUCCCCGGGCUUAACCUGGGAACUGCAUUUGUGACUGCAUAGCUAGAGUACGGUAGAGGGGGAUGGAAUUCCGCGUGUAGCAGUGAAAUGCGUAGAUAUGCGGAGGAACACCGAUGGCGAAGGCGGCAUCCUGGACCGGCAUUGACGCUGAGGCGCGAAAGCCAGGGGAGCAAACGGG
rnacentral:rRNA from 1 species